rnacentral:misc_RNA from 1 species
AAAUGGCAAUUAUUAAUGCCGACUUAUGCAAUAACAUGUUAAAAUUUGCAUUUCAUCAGAGUAUGUAUAUGAAUCUCACGUAGGUUAAAACAAUCUUAUUCAAUAACUGGUCUCUGCCUGUCAAUGAACAGAGUCUCUCUCUCUCUCCCGAUUAUGCCAUGUGGUGACGUAUCUGAAGAUGCUGGUUUUAUCGUUGAACACAGUCGAUG